rnacentral:rRNA from 1 species
CAGUCGCCGCGGGAAUACAGAGGGUGCGAGCGUUAAUCGGAUUUACUGGGCGUAAAGCGUGCGUAGGCGGCUUCUUAAGUCGGAUGUGAAAUCCCUGAGCUUAACUUAGGAAUUGCAUUCGAUACUGGGAAGCUAGAGUAUGGGAGAGGAUGGUAGAAUUCCAGGUGUAGCGGUGAAAUGCGUAGAGAUCUGGAGGAAUACCGAUGGCGAAGGCAGCCAUCUGGCCUAAUACUGACGCUGAGGUACGAAAGCAUGGGGAGCAAACAGGAUUAGAUACCCCUGUAGCCCUGUCUCUUAUACA